UGUGUGUGAGUGACCGGCGGCGCGGUAAGACGAACGGUCCUAAGUUUGUUCGGAAGCACUGGGCUUAAAGGGCGCGUAGGCGGUCCGACAAGUCAGGGGUGAAAUCCUGCAGCUUAACUGCAGAAGUGCCUUUGAUACUGUCGGUCUUGAGCGAGAUAGGGGUGUGCGGAACUCACAGUGGAGCGGUGAAAUGCGUUGAUAUUGUGAGGAACGCCGGAGGCGAAAGCGGCGCACUGGAUCUCUUCUGACGCUGAGGCGCGAAAGCUAGGGGAGCAAACGGGAUUAGAUACCCUAGUAGUC
rnacentral:rRNA from 1 species